rnacentral:lncRNA from 1 species
GAAGAGGGUAUUCCGCCCUAUUGGUCUUCGGGAUUAUGGUCGAAGCAGAGUAGAUGAAGACCCAACAGCCAUUUUCUUGAUUGACCGAAGUGGGUACUCCGCCCUAUUGGUCUUCGAGAUUAUGGUCGAAGCAGAGUAGAUGAAGACUCAACAACCAUUUUCUUGAUUGACCGAAGAGGGUACUCCGCCCUAUUGGUCUUUGGGAUUAUGGUCGAAGCAGACCCAGAAGCCGCACUCCUGAGAAUCCACUGAGGGCACACCGCCCUGUGGAUACUUGUCUUCGGGAAAAUCCAUCUAAAGUUGCAGCUUCAGAUGGAAAGCAGCUGAGGAGUCCGACAAAGCCGUUGCAGUACUUCAGCAGAAGCAGAGCUCGUGGACAUUGCAUGCAGAUGGAUAUUCUAUUUCGGACAUCAGUACAGUAGGCUAUCAAGGGGUCGAUCACAAUAACAAUUCCAUUGCUGAUGCAUUAUCGAAGUUGGCUACUACGGAUGCUUAUAACUUUGAUGGCAUAUGGCGUCCUUCCUUCAGAUCAGAUGCCGGCUAAAGAAGAUCAAGUAUAAGAGUGUCAAUUUUGUUCUCAUUAAUGAGAAUCUUUUUCGAAGGUCCUUUUUCGUCACCAUUGCUCAAAUAUUUGGUUCUGUCCGAAGCAGAGUAUGUUCUUCGGGAAGUUCACAAAGACAUCUGUGGCGAUCAU